rnacentral:rRNA from 1 species
CCUAGUGGCGGACGGGUGAGUAACGCGUGGGUAACCUGCCUCAUACAGGGGGAUAACAGUUAGAAAUGACUGCUAAUACCGCAUAAGACCACAGCACCGCAUGGUGCAGGGGUAAAAACUCCGGUGGUAUGAGAUGGACCCGCGUCUGAUUAGGUAGUUGGUGGGGUAACGGCCUACCAAGCCGACGAUCAGUAGCCGACCUGAGAGGGUGACCGGCCACAUUGGGACUGAGACACGGCCCAA